UACAGAGGUGGCAAGCGUUGUUCGGAAUUACUGGGCGUAAAGGGCGCGUAGGCGGCCCGUCAAGUCCCGUGUGAAAGCCCCCGGCUCAACUGGGGAGGGUCAUUCGAUACUGAUCGACUCGAAGGCAGGAGAGGGUAGUGGAAUUCCCGGUGUAGUGGUGAAAAUGCGUAGAUAUCGGGAGGAACACCAGUGGCGAAGGCGACUACCUGGCCUGUUCUUGACGCUGAGGCGCGAAAGCUAGGGGAGCAAACGGG
rnacentral:rRNA from 1 species